GCUGUGAUGGCUAAGAGGUUAAGGCGUUGGACUUGAAAUCCAAUGGGGUCUCCCCGCGUAGGUUCAAAUCCUGCUCACAGCG